rnacentral:lncRNA from 1 species
GGCUGCAAUUCCUUUUUAGCAUUUUGCCUCUUUCUCUAAAUAUUCUAAGCACAACUUGUAUAUACUGCUCACAGAGAUACCCAUAGAUCAAACUCGCAAAAGUGCAUUUGAACAAAGGGCUUAAACACUCAAAUAAUUAAAUUGCAGGCUUUCCUAUUGAUGUAAAAGACAUAUUAUUUUUGCUUAAACCUAAUAGUCAAUGGAUUAUGAAAUUUAAUACCAUUAAAUGUACCACCUGGAAAAAAAAGUUGAUAAUCUAUGAUGCAUGCUCAGGAAUAAUUCUAUACAGCAUAUAUAUUGGUCACAGUAACUUUUGGAAACUUUGAAAUGUAUUGAAUAUAUUCCAAGUGAGUUGUCUUGUUCUUUUUUUUUUUUCUUCCCCACAUGGUUUUCAGCUGAUAGGCAGCCAUUUUGUGCCUAUCCCAGUUGGCAAAUAUAACACAAUUUGAUCUCUUUCCAUUCUUAGAAACAAUGAAGCCCUUUGUUUUUGCCUUUCAAGACGAUAAAUGGAAUUGCAGUCAUUCCUCCAGUGGCUAAUACCUGCCAGCAGAUCCUGAAAGAUGUCAUUGAUUUCUAGAUGUAUCCUGAUUUCAAGCUAGGAUGUGGAGCACAUGUAACGGCAGCCUCGUCGAUAUCAGCUUCACGGAUGCCAUGUUGAGGUGGCUGCAGCUGUCAUUCUGUGUCAUGUCACUUUGCAUGGUGCCUUAUAAUGGAUGCUGACAUGAGGUAGCAGGCUGCCCUCACACCUAUGAAAGCAAACUUCAAAUGAAAGCAGGUGGCUCCUUCUUUGCUGCAGUAACUAGUGUGGCAAAUAAAAUAUUUAAUAAAUAUUUUAAUAAAUAAAUAAAUAAUACAUAAAUUUAAUUUUUAAUAUAUUUAAUGAACAAAUUUAAUAAAUAAAAUAUUUAAUGAAUAAAUAAAAUAAAAUCUAAUUGUGGAGAAGGAUAUUAUAUUGCUAAAAUUGAACUGCAUCUAGUAAUUCCUGAUAAUAAAA